UGACAAGUUCAAUCUUAAGUAUAAUCCUUGUCUCGUGUUAAAGCGACGACGUCCAGUGUUGCAGUUCAGCCCUUUCUGUAUCUCCACGGCUGAGCUGUGUCAAAUCGACGCCAACAUCU